rnacentral:rRNA from 1 species
UACGGAGGGUGCAAGCGUUGUCCGGAUUUAUUGGGUUUAAAGGGUGCGUAGGCGGUUAAUUAAGUCAGUGGUGAAAUCCUGGAGCUCAACUUCAGAACUGCCAUUGAUACUGGUUGACUUGAGUACAGACGAGGUUGGCGGAAUUGAUGGUGUAGCGGUGAAAUGCAUAGAUACCAUCAAGAACACCGAUUGCGAAGGCAACUAACUAGGCUGUAACUGACGCUGAGGCACGAAAGUGUGGGGAUCAAACAGG